rnacentral:rRNA from 1 species
CCUACGGGAGGCAGCAGGGAGGAAUAUUGGACAAUGGACGAGAGUCGGAACCAGCAAAGUAGCGGGAAGGAUGAAUGCCCAAUGGGGGGUAAACUUCGUUUAUAUGGGAAUAAAAUGUUCCACGUGUGGGAUUUUGUAUGUACCAUAUGAAUAAGGAUCGGCUAACUCCGUGCCAGCAGCCGCGGUAAUACGGAGGAUCCGAGCGUUAUCCGGAUUUAUUGGGUUUAAAGGGUGCGUAGGUGGAUUGUUAAGUCAGUUGUGAAAGUUUGCGGCUCAACCGUAGAAUUGCAGUUGAAACUGGCAGUCUUGAGUACAGUAGAGGUGGGCGGAAUUCGUGGUGUAGCGGUGAAAUGCUUAGAUAUCACGAAGAACUCCGAUUGCGAAGGCAGUUCACUGGACUGCAACUGACACUGAGGCUCGAAAGUGUGGGUAUCAAACAGGAUUAGAUACCCCUGUAGUC